GCGGCACGCCUAACACAUGCAAGUCGAACGAAGUAGCAAUACUUAGUGGCAGACGGGUGAGUAACAUGUAGGUAUCUGCCCUUUGGCCUGGAAUAACACGAGGAAACUUGUGCUAAUACCGGAUAAGUCUUUACGGAGAAAGCUUUAUGCACCAUUGGAUGAGCCUGCACUUGAUUAGUUUGUUGGUGGGGUAAUGGCCUACCAAGACUGUGAUCAAUAGCUGAUUUGAGAGGAUGAUCAGCCACAUUGGGACUGAGACACGGCCCAAACUCCUACGGGAGGCAGCAGUGGGGAAUCUUGCACAAUGGAGGAAACUCUGAUGCAGCGAUGCCGCGUGAGUGAAGAAGGCCCUUGGGUUGUAAAGCUCUUUCGUCGGGGAAGAAAAUGACUGUACCCGAAUAAGAAGGUCCGGCUAACUUCGUGCCAGCAGCCGCGGUAAUACGAAGGGACCUAGCGUAGUUCGGAAUUACUGGGCUUAAAGAGUUCGUAGGUGGUUGAAAAAGUUGGUGGUGAAAUCCCAGAGCUUAACUCUGGAACUGCCAUCAAAACUUUUCAGCUAGAGUUUGAUAGAGGAAAGCAGAAUUUCUAGUGUAGAGGUGAAAUUCGUAGAUAUUAGAAAGAAUACCAAUUGCGAAGGCAGCUUUCUGGAUCAUUACUGACACUGAGGAACGAAAGCAUGGGUAGCGAAGAGGAUUAGAUACCCUCGUAGUCCAUGCCGUAAACGAUGUGUGUUAGACGUUGGAAAUUUAUUUUCAGUGUCGCAGCGAAAGCGAUAAACACACCGCCUGGGGAGUACGACCGCA
rnacentral:rRNA from 1 species